GUUCUACUGAGACGUUGGUGAAUGCCGAUAUAGUUUAUUGAUCUAUGUCUGCUUCUAUAAGGGAGUCGAGUGACGCCGUGGCAGUAAACCGGGCUUGUACCCGGAAACAAAAAACGAGAGUCCGCGAUACCCACCUGGUUAUCCAGGUCAUAAGCUGAGGUAAAACGGCGUUUCGGGGAACCU
rnacentral:other from 7 species